UCUCGCGAGAUUUGGCCACGUUCGGCCUCUUUUGAAGGCAACCCGCGGGAUUUCAGCCCCACAACGAAUGUAUAGACACAGUGUCGGGGGAGGAUGUGGAAAAGGAGGCUUGUAUUUGUGCUGAACAUGUCGAACCGAUUACUUCACAGAGGAAGGUCGUGUGUAUGUCGACAUGUUUGAAGGUUAUUUGGACCUCAAAGAAUGAUGAUGAAGAUAAAACGGCAGCGUAAACAUGCCUGUUUGUCAUUGCUUCGCUGCACUUAUGUAAACAUCGCCUUAAAAGUCAGGUCAGCUGUGGAAAACAGUCUUCAAAACCAAGGAAGCACAUUUUCAUUUCUCGCUGUCGAUUUCAGUACAAUCAGAAACCCAUCACCCACACCUGAUUGUGGUUUGGCGGCGAGAAACGAUUUCGUCGACAGAUAACAUGGCUACCGGAUGUCCCGUCGACGCCAUUCCAAGGCCGGUAACCCCUUGUCUUCCUCUCGUCACUGGAAACUCUAUCGGGAGUGUUUAUUUGUGCUUUGUUUCAUGAAAGGCCAGGCGCUUACUGAUGUGGAGUUGCAGUGAGUUGAAAGGCCAUUUCCAUGUGUUUAUAGAAUCCAGAUGCUAUGGGCUUGUAUUAAGAUUGCAACACCUCUUGUUGAGUUUCGGUCGGCCCUUGUCAGGCGUGAUAUCGAUACAACAGCUACCAUUAAAGAUGUCAGUACCUUUAUCAUAGCGCGCCGCCUAUCAUGACAUCAAAGCUCUUACGAGGCGAUUAUGUGCUGUUUAACUGUUUUAUUUGAUACUGAUUCUAUUUAUUUAAAGUGUUUGACUCUGAUGCUACAAUGGUAAUCAUACGACGUUGGGACAAAUGAUAAAUGCAGAGACAUCAUUUAGUCGGAGAUAUUUCCCUGAUGUGAAGAUCCGUCUUUUGAAGUUUUAGUUGUUUUUUACCCUAAUGUCUUGUGUGUAUUCGCCUUCGUUGACAGCUUUUAUUCGUAUAAAACGCCCACAGCAUUGGCUUUUCAGAUUAAUGUUACGUUAUAUCCCCAGUAGAGUUUUCUUCCCAAAGGUUAUUAUUACGAACGAAAAAGUACGUUAUGGAAUCAAUGCAUUCCUAUGCAUGGUGUUGAGUUUGUCGUGUGUACUAUUUCACUGCUAGAUUUUGGGAGUUGUCAGUUCAUUAUCACCAGCUUAUAUUUAAUAACAUAUACUCAUGCGUGUUACUGAAAACAGAAUUCAAUUUGAAAUUAUUUUACUGUUACAGUACAAUAAACUGAGAAAAUGGAAAUAAAUCAAUUUCAGCAUUUGUCA